rnacentral:rRNA from 1 species
GAUGAACGCUAGCUACAGGCUUAACACAUGCAAGUCGAGGGGUAACGAGAGGAAGGCUUGCUUUCCUUGUCGACGACCGGCGCACGGGUGAGUAACGCGUAUCCAACCUGCCCCCAACUAAGGAAUAACCUUGCGAAAGUAAGACUAAUACCUUAUAAUUUCCUCAGAUGUCAUCUGACGAGGAAUAAAGAUUUAUCGGUUGUGUAUGGGGAUGCGUCUGAUUAGCUUGUUGGCGGGGUAACGGCCCACCAAGGCAACGAUCAGUAGGGGUUCUGAGAGGAAGGUCCCCCACAUUGGAACUGAGACACGGUCCAAACUCCUACGGGAGGCAGCAGUGAGGAAUAUUGGUCAAUGGGCGGAAGCCUGAACCAGCCAAGUAGCGUGCAGGAUGACGGCCCUAUGGGUUGUAAACUGCUUUUAUACAGGAAUAAAGUUAGCCACGUGUGGUUAUUUGUAGGUACUGUAUGAAUAAGGACCGGCUAAUUCCGUGCCAGCAGCCGCGGUAA